rnacentral:rRNA from 1 species
ACGAACGCUGGCGGCGUGCUUAACACCUGCCAGUCGCACGGAAAGGCCCUGCUUUUGUGGGGUGCUCGAGUGGCGAACGGGUGAGUAACACGUGAGUAACCUGCCCUUGACUUUGGGAUAACUUCAGGAAACUGGGGCUAAUACCGGAUAGGAGCUCCUGCUGCAUGGUGGGGGUUGGAAAGUUUCGGCGGUUGGGGAUGGACUCGCGGCUUAUCAGCUUGUUGGUGGGGUAGUGGCUUACCAAGGCUUUGACGGGUAGCCGGCCUGAGAGGGUGACCGGCCACACUGGGACUGAGAUACGGCCCAGACUCCUACGGGAGGCAGCAGUGGGGAAUAUUGCACAAUGGGCGGAAGCCUGAUGCAGCAACGCCGCGUGCGGGAUGACGGCCUUCGGGUUGUAAACCGCUUUCGCCUGUGACGAAGCGUGAGUGACGGUAAUGGGUAAAGAAGCACCGGCUAACUACGUG